rnacentral:rRNA from 1 species
GGCAGACGGCUCAGUAACGCGUAGUCAGCCUACCUUAUGGACGGGGAUAACCUCGGGAAACUGAGAAUAAUACCCGAUAGAACAUUAUUCCUGGAAUGGUUUAUGUUUCAAAUAAUUUAUUGCCGUAGGAUGGGACUGCGGCCUAUCAGUUUGUUGGUGAGGUAAUGGCCCACCAAGACUAUUACAGGUACGGGCUCUGAGAGGAGUAGCCCGGAGAUGGGUACUGAGACACGGACCCAGGCCCUGUGGGGCGCAGCAGGCGAGAAAACUUUGCAAUGUGCGAAAGCACGACAAGGUUAAUCCGAGUGGUUUCUGCUAAAGGAACCUUUUGACAGUCCUAGAAACACUGUUGAAUAAGGGGUGGGCAAGUUCUGGUGUCAGCCGCCGCGGUAAAACCAGCACCUCAAGUGGUCAGGAUGAUUAUUGGGCCUAAAGCAUCCGUAGCCUGCUUUGUAAGUUUUCGGUUAAAUCCAUACGUCAACGUAUGGGCUGCCGGAAAUACUACAAAGCUAGGGAGUGGGAGAGGUAGACGGUACUCGGUAGGAAGGGGUAAAAUCCUUUGAUCUAUUGAUGACCACCUGUGGCGAAGGCGGUCUACCAGAACACGUCCGACGGUGAGGGAUGAAAGCUGGGGGAGCAAACCGGAUUAGAUACCCGGGUAGUCCCAGCUGUAAACAAUGCAAACUCGGUGAUGCAUUGGCUUGAUGCCAAUGCAGUGCCGCAGGGAAGCCGUUAAGUUUGCCGCCUGGGAAGUACGUACGCCAAGUAUGAAACUUAAAGGAAUUGGCGGGGGAGCACCACAAGGGGUGAAGCCUGCGGUUCAAUUGGAUU